rnacentral:rRNA from 1 species
GACGAACGCUGGCGGCGUGCUUAACACAUGCAAGUCGAGCGGAAAGGCCCUUCGGGGUACUCGAGCGGCGAACGGGUGAGUAACACGUGAGUAACCUGCCCCUGACUCUGGGAUAAGCCUGGGAAACUGGGUCUAAUACCGGAUACGACCUCCUGCGGCAUCGUGGGUGGUGGAAAGUUUUUCGGUUGGGGAUGGGCUCGCGGCCUAUCAGCUUGUUGGUGGGGUAGUGGCCUACCAAGGCGACGACGGGUAGCCGGCCUGAGAGGGCGACCGGCCACACUGGGACUGAGACACGGCCCAGACUCCUACGGGAGGCAGCAGUGGGAAUAUUGCGCAAUGGGCGGAAGCCUGACGCAGCGACGCCGCGUGGGGGAUGACGGCCUUCGGGUUGUAAACCUCUUUCAGCAGGGACGAAGUUGACGUGUACCUGCAGAAGAAGCGCCGGCUAACUACGUGCCAGCAGCCGCGGUAAUACGUACCGUCCAAACGUUAUUCGGAAUUACUGGGCUUAAAGGGUUUGUAGGCGGCGCUGUUAGUCGGGUGUGAAAUCCCAGGGCUCAACCCUGGAACUGCGCCCGAUACUGCAGUGCUUGAGGGAGACAGAGGUAAGCGGAACUGAUGGUGGAGCGGUGAAAUGCGUUGAUACCAUCAGGAACACCGGUGGCGAAAGCGGCUUACUGGGUCUCUUCUGACGCUGAGAAACGAAAGCUAGGGGAGCGAAGGGGAUUAGAUACCCCCGUAGUCCUAGCCGUAAACGUUGAGCACUUGAUCGAGGGCCCCCCCAUAGGUUCUCGGUCGUAGCGAAAGUGUUAAGUGCUCCGCCUGGGGAGUAUGGUCGCAAGGCUGAAACUCAAAGAAAUUGACGGGGGCUCACACAAGCGGUGGAGGAUGUGGCUUAAUACGAGCCUACGCGAAAAACCUUAUCCUAGUCUUGACAUGCACGGAUCAACCCGGUGAAAGCCGGGCCACGCCUUCGGGUGGAACGCGCACAGGUGCUGCAUGGCUGUCGUCAGCUCGUGUCGUGAGAUGUCGGGUUAAGUCCCUUAACGAGCGAAACCCUUGUCGCUAGUUGCCAGCGAGUCAUGUCGGGGACUCUAGCGAGACCGCCGGUGUUAAACCGGAGGAAGGUGGGGAUGACGUCAAGUCCUCAUGGCCUUUAUGACUAGGGCUGCACACGUCCUACAAUGCUGCGUACAAAGGGAAGCAAGCUCGCGAGAGUAAGCAAAUCCCAAAAAACGCAGCUCAGUUCGGAUUGCAGGCUGCAACUCGCCUGCAUGAAGCUGGAAUCGCUAGUAAUCGUAGGUCAUCAUACUACGGUGAAUGUGUUCCUGAGCCUUGUACUCACCGCCCGUCAAGCCACGAAAGUGGGAGGCGCUUAAAGCCGCUGUGCUAACCGCAAGGAAGCAGGCGUCUAGAGCGAAUUCCGCGAUUGGGACUAAGUCGUAACAAGGUA